rnacentral:rRNA from 1 species
CAGCAGCCGCGGUAACACGUAGGGUGCAAGCGUUAAUCGGAAUUACUGGGCGUAAAGCGUGCGCAGGCGGUUAUAUAAGACAGAUGUGAAAUCCCCGGGCUCAACCUGGGAACUGCAUUUGUGACUGUAUAGCUAGAGUACGGCAGAGGGGGAUGGAAUUCCGCGUGUAGCAGUGAAAUGCGUAGAUAUGCGGAGGAACACCGAUGGCGAAGGCAAUCCCCUGGGCCUGUACUGACGCUCAUGCACGAAAGCGUGGGGAGCAAACAGGAUUAGAUACCCCCGUAGUCCCUGUCUCUUAUAU